CCUACGGGCGGCUGCAGUGGGGAAUAUUGCGCCAUGGGCGAAAGCCUGACGCAGCGACGCCGCGUGAGGGAUGAAGGUCUUCGGAUCGUACACCUCUGUCAGCAGGGAAGAACGGUCACUGUGCUAAUCAGCAGUGAAUUGACGGUACCUGCAAAGGAAGCACCGGCUAACUCCGUGCCAGCAGCCGCGGUAAUACGGAGGGUGCGAGCGUUAAUCGGCAUUACUGGGCGUAAAGCGCUCGUAGGAGGUAUGUCAAGUCAAGGGUGAAAUCCCCGCGCUCAACGUGGGAACUGCCUUUGAAACUGGCAAACUGGAGUGUGUGAGAGGAUAGUGGAAUUCCAGGUGUAGGAGUGAAAUCCGUAGAUAUCUGGAGGAACAUCAGUGGCGAAGGCGACUAUCUGGCACAUAACUGACGCUGAGGAGCGAAAGCGUGGGUAGCAAACAGGAUUAGAUACCCCAGUAGUC
rnacentral:rRNA from 1 species